rnacentral:rRNA from 1 species
CCUACGGGCGGCAGCAGUGAUGAAUAUUGGUCAAUGGACGAGAGUCUGAACCAGCCAAGCAGCGUGAAGGAUGACUGCCCUAUGGGUUGUAAACUUCUUUUAUAUGGGAAUAAAAUGUUCUACGUGUGGGAUGUUGUAUGUACCAUAUGAAUAAGGUUCGGCUAACUCCGUGCCAGCAGCCGCGGUAAUACGGAGGAUUCGAGCGUUAUCCGGAUUUAUUGGGUUUAAAGGGAGCGUAGGUGGUUUGUUAAGUCAGUUGUGAAAGUUUGCGGCUCAACCGUAAAAUUGCAGUUGAAACUGGCAGUCUUGAGUAAAGUAGGGGUGGGCGGAAGUAGGGGUGUAGCGGUGAAAUGCUUGGAUAU